rnacentral:lncRNA from 1 species
GAGAGGCUCACCAGAAUAAAAAGUACUAAAAAGAUAAGUACUCGCUCUCCUCUGUAGGCUAGGACUGAUAAUAGAAGAGACUAGUACAGAACUUGACUUACUGAUAGCAAUGAGGAUAAUGGGACACUGAAACAAACAAACAAACAAAAGUCCAGAUGGCAGUGCUUAACUUCCGGAAGCUAGGCAAUGGCAAUUAUCAUCAUGGCUGGUGAGGUUUGAGUGGCAGCCAGGAACACCUGGCCAACAGAGAGUUAUGGAGAUGACUAAUAAAGCAAAAUGUCCCUAGGGGCAAAUUAGAGGGAUGGUGGUUUCUAUCAUGUAUCUGUUUAAUUCACCACUCUUGACCUUAUAGAAACCAGAUGAUCCUGGAAGGUGACUGUAGACUGCCAUGAGUUCAACCAAGUACUAUAGCCCCGAUUACAGCCAUUAUGUAAGAUGUAGUAUCUUUGCUACAGCAGAUUACUUUGGCCUCGGGAACAUAUUAUACAACCACUGAUUUGGCAAAUGUGUUCUUUUUUAUCCUAAUCAGAAAAAGAAAAAGAGUCAGAAAAAAGUUUGCAUUUACAUGGAAUGGGCAACAAUAUACAUGUGAGGUUUUCCUCCCAGGGCUAUGCCUUCCACUCUAUGUAAAAUACAGUCUGAAGAGAUUUGGACUAUCUCAACCUUGUCCAACCCACGGCUUGCAGGCUGUACAUGGCACAGGAGAGCUUUGAAACUUUCUUAAAACAUUAUAAUUUUUUUUUUUUUUUGAGACAGAGUCUUG